AAAGAGUAUUAUAAAUGUGACAUUGCAUAGUUACAUAAAACACUAUAACAUAUCUUAGCCAUUACCCAAUAAUAAUAUUAAAUAAUUAAAUAAUCAAAUAUACAAAUAUAACUUGUAAAAAUUAUAAAAUAAAAUAAAAGCAAAGUCACACGCACUAGCAAAAGUAAAGUAACAUAACGCCAAGUUACCAACAAUUUGCAAAGUCACCCAAAAGCAAAGUAACAUAACGCUAAGUCACCAAAAAUUUGCAAACAAAAAACCCUAAGCUUCCUCGCCGUCACACGCACUAGCAACACCCAAUAUUGAUUCGAUACACUCUCGACACCGAUUUGAAGGACGUCGUCCGCGUGAUUCCAGCGAGAGCAAGCCAUCUUCUUUCCCAAGUCCAUUGAGCCACUUCACAAUCACUGGUUCCAGCCAAAUAAUUGCACUAUCAUAACCUUUAAGAUCGCCACUCGUACUUCUCCUGGUUCCCAUCGUUGACGGCUCUGUAAUCACCACUUUUCGACAAGUGCAAUAGCCCUGGUGAAGGAUCAGACUGUAUUUGGUUUCAGAAACUUCGCCAUUUCAAUUAAUUGUGGCUUUAUUUGUACAAUUAAUUUCGGUGUUAUAUUAAUAUAUUAUUAUAACUUUAUUUGAACAAUUAAUCUUAGUAUGUUAUAUUUUGAAACUUUAAACGUAUUAUUGUAGCUUUAUUUGAAUAAUUAAUCUCGAUGUGCUAUAUUUUGAAACGUUGAAUGUAUUAUUUUAGUUUUAUUUAAACAAUUAAUUUGUUUAAAUUUUAUUCAAUUUUAAAUUUAAUUGGUAGUAAAAUUAUUUUUAUAUUAGAUUUUUUUUUUUAAAUUUCAUUAGUUCAUGGAUUGGGGAGAACUAAAAAUUUUAAAUUCGGAAACCAAUGCGCAAAAUAGUGUAUUGGAUAUGAAUUAAGUUAAAUCCGCAUCUGAUCCGCAGACGUAUCGAUUGGAUAUGGAUUGAGUCAAAUCCGCAUCCGAUCCGCAGAUGUAUGGAUUGGAUUUGAAUUGAGUUUAAUCAAUCCGUGGAUUGGAUUGAAUUGAAAAAUUAUAAUCUGUAAAAUUAUGGAUCGGAUAUGGAUUGAUGUCUAAUCCGUAAAAUCCGAUCCGCGAACACCCCUAGGUGCUGCU
rnacentral:lncRNA from 1 species